rnacentral:rRNA from 1 species
GUGGGGAAUAUUGGACAAUGGGGGCAACCCUGAUCCAGCCAUGCCGCGUGAAUGAUGAAGGCCUUCGGGUUGUAAAGUUCUUUUGGAGGGGACGAUGAUGACGGUACCCUCAGAAUAAGCUCCGGCUAACUUCGUGCCAGCAGCCGCGGUAAUACGAAGGGAGCUAGCGUUGUUCGGAAUUACUGGGCGUAAAGGGCGCGUAGGCGGUUUGGUUAGUCAGAUGUGAAAGCCCAGGGCUUAACCCUGGAACUGCGUUUGAUACUGCCAAGCUUGAAUUCGGGAGAGGUGAGUGGAAUUCCCAGUGUAGAGGUGAAAUGCGUAGAUAUUGGGAAGAACACCGGUGGCGAAGGCGACUUGCUGGGCAGCAACUGACGCUGAGGCGCGAAAGCCAGGGGAGCAAACGGGAUUAGAUACCCUGGUAGUCC